GGGUUCGAUCAUACCAGCACUAAAGCAUUAGAUCUCUUCAGAACUCCUAAGUCAUGUGUGCUUGGGAUAGAGUAGUGCUAGGAUGGGUGACCCCUUGGGAAGUCCUCGUGUUGCACUCU
rnacentral:rRNA from 15 species